UUCGGUGAAAGAAUCUCUGCUUUUUUCAUUGUUUUGUGACAAGAAAUAAAAUCUCUCUGAGAUUAAGCUGUGAUUACACCCCGCCAAUAGAGAUUUAACAUAUGUAUGGGAGGGUAGGGAGGGGGAAGGGUAAC